CGUGAGGGAAAGGUGAAAAGAACCCCGGGAGGGGAGUGAAAGAGAACCUGAAACCCUGCACUUACAAGCUGUAGGAGCACAUUAUUUGUGUGACUGCGUACUUUUUGUAGAACGGGCCAACGAGUUACGUUGUGUAGCAAGGUUAAGCACUUAAGGUGUGGAGCCGUAGCGAAAGCGAGUCUUAAAUGGGCGUCCAGUUACCCGACGUAGACCCGAAACCAGGCGACCUAUCCAUGAGCAGGUUGAAGCGAAAGUAAAAUUUCGUGGAGGACCGAACCCACGUACGUUGAAAAGUGCGGGGAUGACUUGUGGAUAGCGGUGAAAUUCCAAUCGAGCCUGGAGAUAGCUGGUUCUCCCCGAAAUAGCUUUAGGGCUAGCCUCAAGCUUAGAGAAACGGAGGUAGAGCACUGAAUGUCCUAGGGGGUAUUGCACUUACCGAAGACUAUCAAACUCCGAAUGCCGUAUUCUUUUGCUUGGGAGUCAGACUAUGGGUGAUAAGAUUCAUAGUCAAGAGGGCAACAGCCCAGAUCGUCAGCUAAGGUCCCUAAAUGUAAGUUAAGUGGUAAAGGAUGUGGAAUUGCACAGACAACCAGGAUGUUGGCUUAGAAGCAGCCACUCAUUUAAAGAGUGCGUAAUAGCUCACUGGUCGAGUGAUUCUGCGCCGAAAAUUUCCGGGGCUAAAACUUACUACCGAAGCUACGGCAUCAUUAUGAUGGGUAGGGGAGCUUUCUAUGUGGCUUGAAGCAUGACCGUAAGGACAUGUGGACUGCAUAGAAGUGAGAAUGUUGGCAUGAGUAGCGAGAUGUGGGUGAGAAUCCCACAGGCCGUAAACCCAAGGUUUCCAGGGGAAGGUUCGUCCGCCCUGGGUUAGUCAGGACCUAAGCCGAGGCCGAAAGGCGUAGGUGAUGGACAACAGGUUGAUAUUCCUGUACCACCAAUAACCGUUUGAGAAAUGGGAUGACACAGUAGGAUAAGCUAACCGCACUGUUGGUUAUGUGCGGGCAAGUAUUGAGGCAGUUCCGAUAGGCAAAUCCGUCGGAAUAAUGCUGGGGUACGAUGCGGAGCGAAAUUUAGUAGCGAAGUAGCUGAUUUCACACUGUCGAGAAAAGUCUCUAUCGAGGUUAAAGGUGCCUGUACCGCAAACCGACACAGGUGGGUGAGGAGAGUAUCCUAAGGCCAGCGAGAGAACUGUUGUUAAGGAACUCGGCAAAAUGACCCCGUAACUUAGGGAGAAGGGGUGCCUUCGAAAGAAGGCCGCAGAGAAUAGGCCCAAGCGACUGUUUACCAAAAACAUAGGUUUCUGCUAAGUCGCAAGACGAUGUAUAGGAGCUGACGCCUGCCCGGUGCUGGAAGGUUAAGGGGAUCUGUUAGAGCAAUCGAAGCAGUGAACUUAAGCCCCAGUAAACGGCGGCCGUAACUAUAACGGUCCUAAGGUAGCGAAAUUCCUUGUCGGGUAAGUUCCGACCCGCACGAAAGGCGUAACGAUUUGGGCACUGUCUCAACAACAGACUCGGUGAAAUUGUAAUACCGGUGAAGAUGCCGGUUACCUGCGACAGGACGGAAAGACCCCAUGGAGCUUUACUGUAGCUUGACAUUGAGUCUCGGUGCUACAUGUACAGGAUAGGUGGGAGACUAUGAAGCAUGGACGUCAGUCUGUGUGGAGUCAUCCUUGGGAUACCACCCUUGUAGUACUGGGAUUCUAACCAGAGGCCAUGAAUCUGGUCUUGGGACACUGUCAGGUGGACAGUUUGACUGGGGCGGUCGCCUCCCAAAAAGUAACGGAGGCGCUCAAAGGUUCUCUCAGUACGGUCGGAAAUCGUACGAAGAGUGUAAAGGCAAAAGAGAGCUUGAUUGCAAGACAUACAGGUCGAGCAAGGACGAAAGUCGGACUUAGUGAUCCGGUGGUUCCGCAUGGAAGGGCCAUCGCUCAACGGAUAAAAGCUACCCUGGGGAUAACAGGCUGAUCUCCCCCAA
rnacentral:rRNA from 1 species